rnacentral:rRNA from 1 species
UACAGAGGUCUCAAGCGUUGUUCGGAUUCAUUGGGCGUAAAGGGUGCGUAGGCGGCGCGGUAAGUCGGGUGUGAAAUCUCGGAGCUUAACUCCGAAACUGCAUUCGAUACUGCCGUGCUUUGAGGACUGGAGAGGAGACUGGAAAUUUUACGGUGUAGCGGUGAAAAUGCGUAGAUAUCGUAAGGAAGACCAGUGGCGAAGG